GAAAUCAGAGUUACUAGAGGAAAGGAAGAAAAGAGGUGAAAUGAAAGGGAAAUGAGAAGAUGGGCAGAUUUAACAUCCCAGGAGCUGUUAAAUCUGAGAUCCGCAACCUUGAAAACUCACAGAGGGGCAACCUCCGUUAUUUCCAGUGGGAUGCAACCCAUUCAAGCGUAUGGGGCUUGGAUAUGCGCUAGCCUCCGUUUUCGCAGGAGGGGGAUCCAGAAUGGGUUCCCCGUGAAAAUGGAGAGUCAUCUGUACAUAAGACACCUGCAGCAUGUGCCACACUUACUUCCUCCGCUCCCUGGUCUCUCAUGCAAUCAAAUUUGUUUCUUCAGGAAUUUGACUGUUUAUAAGAAGCCCUCAAGUAAGCUCACAGAUGCAAAUAAGCAGCCACCCAGAGUUCCUGGAGGGCAGAGGAAUGUAUACAGGGGGCCUUCUGAAGUUGUCCAAAGAUGCCUCAUCCUGGUGCCAAGCCCAUAUACUAUUCAAAUACACUUCUAACGCUCUGGAACAGGAACUACGACUGGGAACAACUUUGUCUCUUUAAGAAAGGCAACAACAGCAGUAUGUCCCAAUAAGUUAGGUAAUUGUACGGCCUUUAGAAACAGCAUAGUGACGUUGAUUCCGCGAAAACAACACUGUACAUUCAGUCUCAAAAACAGCUUUCUUUGCAAAGUGUGAUAUAACAGGCCAGUGACAAACUGGGCAAGUUGCCGA